rnacentral:rRNA from 1 species
UCAAAUUGAUACCGUAACUUCGGGAGAAGGUAUGCCUCCUGGUGUGAGGGGAUUUACUCCCUGAGCAUCGAGAGGUCACAGGUAAUCGAGGGCUGCGACUGUUUAUCAAAAACACAGGACUCUGCGAACACGAAAGUGGAUGUAUAGGGUCUGACGCCUGCCCGGUGCCGGAAGGUUAAUUGAUGGGGUCAGCCGCAAGGCGAAGCUCCUGAUCGAAGCCCCGGUAAACGGCGGCCGUAACAAUAACGGUCCUAAGGUAGCGAAAUUCCUUGUCGGGUAAGUUCCGACCUGCACGAAUGGCGUAACGCUGGCCCUACUGUCUCGACCCGAGACUCAGUGAAGUUGAAAUCGCUGUGAAGAUGCGGCGUAGCUGCGGAAAGACGGAAAGACCCCGUGAACCUUUACUACAGCUUUACACUGAACUUUGACCUUGUCUGUGUAGGAUAGGUGGGAGCCUUUGAAGCAGGAGCGCUAGCUCUUGUGGAGGCAACGUUGAAAUACCACCCUGAUAAUGUCGAAGUUCUAACCUAGGCCCGUAAUCCGGGUUGGGAACACUGUAUGGUGGGUAGUUUGACUGGGGCGGUCUCCUCCCAAAGAGUAACGGAGGAGUGCAAAGAUACCCUCAGCGCGGUCGGUCAUCGCGCAAUGAGUGCAAUGGCAUAAGGGUGUUUGACUGCGAGACUGACAAGUCGAGCAGGUGCGAAAGCAGGUCACAGUGAUCCGGUGGUUCUGUAUGGAAGGGCCAUCGCUCAACGGAUAAAAGGUACUCCGGGGAUAACAGGCUUAUUCCUCCCAAGAGUCCACAUCGACGGAGGAGUUUGGCACCUCGAUGUCGGCUCAUCACAUCCUGGGGCUGUAGCAGGUCCCAAGGGUUCGGCUGUUCGCCGAUUAAAGUGGUACGCGAGCUGGGUUCAAAACGUCGUGAGACAGUUUGGUCCCUAUCUUCCGUAGCCGUUGGAGAUUUGAGGGUGAGCUGUCCUUAGUACGAGAGGACCGGGAUGGACGCACCUCUGGUGUUCCGGUUGUCACGCCAGUGGCACUGCCGGGUAGCUAUGUGCGGACGGGAUAACCGCUGAAAGCAUCUAAGCGGGAAGCCCCCCCCAAGAUUAGAUCUCCCUGGGAACUCGAUUCCCCUGAAGGGCCCAAGUAGACGACUUGGUUGAUAGGCUGGGUGUGUAAGGUCAGUAAUGACUUCAGCUAACCAGUACUAAUUGCCCGUGAGGCUUGACU